rnacentral:rRNA from 1 species
CCUACGGGUGGCAGCAGUGAGGAAUAUUGGUCAAUGGCCGAAAGGCUGAACCAGCCAAGUCGCGUGAGGGAAGACGGCCCUAUGGGUUGUAAACCUCUUUUAUGCGGGAACAAAGGUCUCCACGUGUGCCUGUUUGCGGGUACCCCAUGAAAAAGCAUCGGCUAAUUCCGUGCCAGCAGCCGCGGUAAUACGGAGGGUGCGGGCGUUAUCCGGCUUUAUUGUGGUUAAAGGGAGCGUAGGCCGGUCGUUAAGCGUGCCGGGAAAUUGGGGGGAUCAACCAUGUGAGGGCGGUGUGAACUGGAGACCUUGAGUGCGCGGAAGGCACGCGGAAUGCGUGGUGUAGCGGUGAAAUGCAUAGAUAUCACGAAGAACCCCGAUUGCGAAGGCAGCGUACCGGAGCGUUACUGACGCUGAAGCUCGAAAGCGUGGGUAUCGAACAGGAUUAGAUACCCCUGUAGUC